AAGCCGGAAUCGCUAGUAAUCGCGGAUCAGCAUGCCGCGGUGAAUACGUUCCCGGGCCUUGUACACACCGCCCGUCACACCACGAGAGCUUGCAACACCCGAAGUCGGUGAGGUAACCCGCAAGGGAGCCAGCCGCCGAAGGUGGGGCAAGUGAUUGGGGUGAAGUCGUAACAAGGUAGCCGUACCGGAAGGUGCGGCUGGAUCACCUCCUUUCUAAGGA
rnacentral:rRNA from 1 species